AACACUCCCUAUUUUGAGUUUGUACCAAUGUCUAGCUUUUCCCGUUAAAGAGAACGGAAAGAGCUUCCAUUUGAGGGUCUCAUCGGACAUUCCUUCUAUGCGAAGGAGGUCACAGACUCGAUAAAACUCUCUUAGGUGUGUGUAUGGUUCCUCACCUUCUCCUGAGAAAGGUUGUUUUUGAACAAAUUCUAUGUAUUCGGGGUCUAUCUCAAAACUAGAUGCUAUGAUAGGCUUUGAAGAUUUUGGUGGUUCGAGAUGUGUGCCCGUAGGUCUAUGAAAUUCAUAGAUAGACAUGUUUGAAUUCAUGAUAGACCAGAGAUCAAGGAUUAGAUAAGAAGAAAGAUUAGCAGAGAUGAGGCAAAGGAUAAAAGGAUUUUUUUUAUUUUUUUUAGAAAAUGAUUAAGCUAGUUCGUAGUCAACUCAGCAACCGUUUCCCCGGCAACGGCGCCAAAAAUGCUUGUUGACACUUGCUAACACCACUUGAAUACUAGGUUGUCAUCCCCAGCAUGGCACUAGAGUGUACUAUGGUAUUUAUACGCACACAGAUAAUCCGCAAGCGCACGGAUACCGUUGAAGCUUUUACCCGGUUAAAGGUUUUAUCGUAUCCACAGGGAAACAGGAGAAGUGAUCUACGCUCUAACUUAACCAAGAUAAGUAAAUAGGUGUAAAUAGGAAAGAUGGUAGAAUUGAAUAAGAACAAUAUUAAAGGUAAGAUAACAGUGAGUGAUAAUAUGGGAAUAGAGAAUAGAGCAAUUCUAGUAUAUGGGCGAUGGUAGCAGAAUAGAGAGGAUAACUAUGGUUUCUCUACUUCAAAGGGUGUCUAUGUCUGGGACGAACCACGUGAUAAGAGUACACCACAAAGGAUGCUUAUCCUUAGGCCGAUAAACCCUACCCGUCCUGCUAACGAGAGGUGGACUACAGAGGACCAACGUAACUGUCACCUACGCGGCCUACCACACGAUCCAGCUAGACAGGGGAUAUCCACAAGUAAUCUAGAUCUAAGCACCUCGCUUACACCUAUACUACAACUCUCACCUAUAGCGUCCUAUAGAUUAGAAUACUCAAAAGAGUUGUGAACCAGAACAUACAUAAUUAGUAAUUGCAUAAUGAAUUAGAAGUAGAUUACCAGAGUCAUGCCAUGAGCAAGCUUGAUUAGAGCUUGAUCAUGACGAAGUACAACCGGAGAAAGAACCGACAGGCCGGCCUCUCCUCUAAUCCUCCUUCGCUCUCCAUCUUGCUACUAUCUAGAUCUACUCUAGUUUAGAGAAGAGAGGAGAGCUCUCAUCUCUAAACCCUAGCUUUUACUCUGUCUAUGAAUAAUGAAUAAUGAUCAAGGGGUGCCUCCUCCAGGGGCCAGGGGGUCUGGUUAUAUAGUCCCCUCAAGUGAACCUGGGCUGUCGGAUCAAACCGACAUUGAUUGAACGGUUAUUCUUGAUCCUUUAGGUCGGUGGAGAUCUCCCGAGAGAAAGAGUCCUGAUUGGGCUCCAAGUCAGGGCGGGCGCCCAGGGCAGGAGGGCGGGCGCCCUGCCUCUGGCCCCAUUCGGCCUCCGCUUCCUUCCCGUGGCUUCUGGAGUCUUCUAGAUGUAAGAUAAUUGCGCGGCACGUUAAUAUCUCUAUGUAAUCCCGACGUGUGGGCCUUUCUUCCGUAUUUCCUGAUAACCCCCUGCAGAAAUAGACAAACACCAAAACUCGUGGAAUUCUGUCAGAUAAAACCCUAAGUCUAGAUGUUGAUUUCAUUUGGAUCCUUUUCUUUGUUUAUUUGAUAAUUAAAUUUGAUACUUAAGGACGUCAACAAACUCUCCCAAGCUUACCUCUUGCUCGUCCCUGAGCAAGGAUAGACUCAGCAAUGGAUCAGAAGUUGUUGCAAUAUCUUUAAAAAUUUGACGGUACACAUGAUUUUAAAUAAGAUCUCAUCUCUGAGUUAGAGUAAACUGUCAAGAACUAAAACUUACUUACUUUACCUUUCACCAUGGGACUUGUAACCGUCACUUCUGUCUUGAGUAGUUAAGAGAUAGAACAGUCUAGCCAAGUGCCAUGUCUCUUUAUUCUUGAUCAGCUAUAGCUCUGGAGUUUUUGCAGAUUUUCAAAUAAAACUCAGAGAUUCCUUGUAUGACUCUCUAAAUCUCUCUUUUGUGGUAUUUCUAGAUCCUUACCAAGGCAGUGAUGGUAUAUGCCUUCUCUCAAGAUAUGUGGUAUUUGUGGUAUGAGGCAUAGUGAUAUUGCCUUCUCUCUCACCCUACUCUAAUAAGGUUUGAUAUCUAGAGCUCAUAGGUGGGAGACAGCUAAUACAUACUUACAAGACAUUUAUUGCAUAGUCAAACCAUGGAUCCAGAGAAACAAGUCAAUAAGUCAAAUCAAGAUGUGCAUGUGUGGCGAAUGAAUGGUGUAUGGUGAUGAUGGUGAUAACAAUGGUGGAAGUCUAAUUCUACUUUUGCUCUUUUGAGGGGAUACAUACCUUCCUUGCUUUUUGAAACUUUAUGAGGAGAAUGAGAUGCUCUAUCUUUCAUUUUUUUUCUUUCCUCUCAGGUGGGUAUCCUGUACCCCUAAUUCUAUUGUCGGACACUUGUCCAUUUUUACCUCUCGUCUCACUCUUUUUCUUUUCUUUCGAGGUUCCGGGCACUUGCCCCUUUUUAUUUCCUCGUAUAUUUUUUUUUCCUCUUUUUUUUAGAGCACUCAUCUCAUGAGAUAAUAUAGCAAGUGGUAGUAACAAGAUAACUUGAGCAUUUAUUUUACAAGGAAAAAUAGAAAUAUUUUUGGUUAUUCUCUCCCGGAUUAGGAGUAGAAUAUUUUUGGGUGGUUCUGGAGAUGGAAAUGAGUGGAUAUAUGUGGAUGGUACUUCCAGAGUAGAAGUAGCAUAUAUGAGUGAAUGUGCAAGUGAAAUCUUGAUUUAACCACAUGACAAGCUCCUAGGGGUCUACACAGCUUGACCACACUCAAUGCUCAUAAGCAGUAAAUAGUAAAUGUGUGGCUCAAAGUCUAGCAAGCAUGUAUAUAUGGCUGUGGUAGGAAUUUAAACUUUCAUCAUACAGGAACUCAUCAUGCAAUAUUUUAAAGAUUUUUCAAAGAUAAAAUUCUCCAGAAUUCUAGCAUCUCUAGAAACAGAUAAACAGCAGCUCAACCUUCCCAUAUCAUAUCCGUUAACAACUUAGAUUUCAGAUCAAGUUUUUAUCCCACAAGUUUAGAUCUAGAGCAAGCUUUAAAUUAUAACAGUUAUGUCUAAACUUGAGAGAGAACUUCAAAUUUGCAAAUUAGGCAGAGCAACUAUUUAUCAUAUCCAUUUGCCAACCAGGACAGUGAGGUCCAAACGGUGCUGCACUGCCGUCUCCGUCUUUUUUGCCCAUUUGCNNNNNNNNNNNNNNNNNNNNNNNNNNNNNNNNNNNNNNNNNNNNNNNNNNNNNNNNNNNNNNNNNNNNNNNNNNNNNNNNNNNNNNNNNNNNNNNNNNNNAAAGAAAAAAAAAAAAAAAAAAAAAAAAAAAGGGGACUUUUCCCUUUUGUCACGACGCAGGCCUAGACAUGGCAAAGUGUUGGGGCGGGGUGGCCGAUAUGUAGAAAUACUUCGCGAGAUAAAUAGGGGUGCUCUCCCCCAAGCUGAAUUUUGAUGUAAUUUCUCUUGAUGUAGCUAGCAGGUGGCAGAGGUGUAUUUGAAAGUCAGCAGCAUUCUGACAGCGAUUAGAAUGUCCUCCGUCUGCUAGUCUUCUUGAUUCUUAAAUUCUGUGGAGCUCAAAUAGACAACAAAGCUUGUGGAACUAAUUAAGUGUUAGCAUAAAUAUCUAGCCUUCAUCAUGUUGAGCUUCCUCAAUAAAUAUUACUCCCUGUUUUUAUAUUUUUAUUUAUAAAGAAGAAAAGAAAUAUUUAUUUUAUUUUUAUGCCACCACAGUGAAGGUACUUAUGGGUUUUAUGCCACUCGUAUACUCACAUGGGGCUUAGUAUUUUUUUAACAUUUUUAUUUUCUUUUCAAGAUAGCAUGAUUAACUAAUAAUCUAUUUAAGGAAAGUAAAUAAUUAAAAGAGAAAGGGAAUGCAGAAAGGAUAAAUAUAGAUAACUACCGAUCUUAACUUUCGGCGAUGGUUCAAUGUUUUAAGUCUUCUUAACAAGACUUCUCACCGUGUUCAUUCUUCAGGUGCGUCAUUUGAUUCAGGUGCGGACCUUGACGUCUGCACCUCUUUGUUUGCCGAGCAGUUCGAAGUGCAGCGUUGGCAGUAUCCUGCUCAGUGUGUUUGUGCUCGUAGAUCCAGGUCCUUUACUUGGUAGAGUCUGAGAGUUAUAAAACUCCUCUGUGUUUUGCUCGAAGUGUACCUGCUCAUAGAGACAAGGCAGAGAUCAAGUGCAUGGGUCCUGUUGGUGGAAAACACCAACAGAACCAAAAGUGUAUUUGUUCUUCUCUAACCCUAAGCAUAGUGAGCAAGACAAAGUUGAUGGAUGAAAAGUUCAUGAGUGUAGCACUUAUAACAUUUGUCAGAUCAGAUUGCUCAACCUUAUGGAAAGAUAAUCUAUCUAUGUAUAUGUCUUUUUCUUUAUAUCUCUCAAAGAUUGAAUGUGUAACAUUUUAGCUCAUAUGAUUAGGAGUGUGGGAUCAUGGAGGUAGUACAAAGAACAAGGAUUAAAGGACUAAACAUGUUGAAUCAGUUAGGUUGGUUAAUCUAGAGUUGUAAAUCAUACAUGUUUGUCUCUUUUAUUUAUAUGAACGCUAGAACCAAGGAGAAGCUUAUAAAAGUGAUAUUCAAGUACCUUAAGAUGUUACCUUGCUUGAAGAGUGAUGGUACAGUAUCACCUUGUGGAAGCUUUCCUUUCUUAGCGAUUGUGUAUCGUGUUUGUGGCACCCUCCAUGGAUCAUCUCUCUAUGAUGAAUGAGCUAUGUCCUUCUUGUGCAAAUUGUUAAACUUCAUGUGUCACUCUCUUCGUCUCUGAUGUGAGUUUAUCUCACGACUUCCCAAAUCGAUAUUGAAAGUUUUUCUGCAGGGGUUAGUCCGACAAAAAUAUACCAAUGUCUACACAAGCAGUUUUUAGUUCAAUAACCGAACUAGACUCCAUGUCUAAUCAUAUUAAGGAAGGCUGUUUAACCUAAGCACCAUGCUUAAUUUAAAAGCCAAUAGAAGUAUGUGCAGUACUUCCAAACUAACACUUACUAGUAAAUAGACAAAGGUAGCAUGACAACAUUUAUAGAGAUCUACUCAAGUGGAGAUGAAGUAGUGUGAUUAGUAUUUAACAAAUUGAGCAUGUCUUAAAGGUAGGGACAACCAAAAUAGCAACAUGGCAAAGGAUGUUUUUAUGUAAAGUACUCCCCCAAGCUUGAAUUUUGCAGAAUUCAAGUUUGGAUGAAUUUAAUUCAAUGUUGUAUGAUGAUUGGUUGGACAUACCUUGUGCUUGUCAUUCAUCCGAUCUUCUUGCUCCAAUCCUGUAAAGGUUAGUGACAAGAAUACCCGAAGGAAUAUUUUUACAAUUAUCUUUAUAUGCUCAAUACACAAGGUAAUGUUGCAAAUAAUUAAAAACUCAUGUUACGAUCUGAUCAGUGCUUAUUUUAGGACACUAAGCUUGUCCUUGGGAAACCAUCAAUUUAUGUCGGCGAAGUGGUUUCCCUUCCAACGCUGACCUAAAUCAAGAUCAACUCAACGAGAUCUGCAAUAUUUAUUAUAGACAUAUGCAUCGACAACCGCCCUUUUAAAGUUUUUAUAAAUAGAAAGGAAGAGGGGGUUGGAGAUCUCAAAUGUGGUGAUGUUGGAGAGACCAAUAGAUUGGGAAGAUGUUGCAUACGAGCAUGGAGUAAACAAAGUGGCUAUGAAAUAAAUUCCAUGCUCAUUAAUGUUAUCUUCGUCUCCAAUCUGAAUGUUCAGAGUUCCUCUUGGAUUGGUCUCACUUAUGUCCUCUUCUAUAGUUGGAUGAAUCCCAUCUUCAAAAGGAGUCAAGAACUCACCAUUUGAAAUUGAACCAAAGUCAGAAUUCAUUAAGGCUUCUUCCUUAUCCAUCCAUUCUACACAUUCUAGACAUUUAGAACUUGUGAUCGGGAAAGGGGAGGUGUUAGAAUUUUCAAUAUGGCUUAGCUCUCCUUUACUUGAUGUGUCAUCCUCGACUUCUUCAUAACAGGAACCAGGACAUUCUCUAAGAGAACCAUUAUUACGAGGAUUUGAAUUAUCCCUGCUUGAAGGUCUCUUAUGGAACCAGAAGUCUAAACCAUCAGCAUCUGAAAGAUUUAAGGUCGGAAUUCCUUCCUCCCAUGGAGAAUUUUGGGGUAUUGAUGGUUUAGGAUCGAUAGCUAAAGUUUGGAAUUGAAGUGGUUGUGAUCUGGCUAUCGAAACUUCUUCUUCUUGUCUAGGAACUGGUUCUAUCUCUUUCUCAGGGAUAUAAAAGCUAGGAGACUUUCCACUUAAUAAAUCAAUCAAAUUCCAAGCUUCACUAGCAGGUAGGUGAUAGAAGGAUCCUCUAGAGGCUGUAUUCAAGGUUUGCUUAUUUUCCCUACUAAGGCCCUCAAAAAAGUGAAUUAGAAGAACUUCUUCUGGAAUAGAAAGCUUUGGGCCAGUGAGAGUAAGGUUAAUAAAGCGGUCCCAUGAUUUCCUAAAAGAUUCUUCUUCCAGUUGUCUAAAAGAAAUAAUCUCACACCGAAGUUACGCCACUUUGGAGAUUGGAAAAUAUUUAGAAAGAAAACUACUAUAUAACUCCUUCCAAUCUCUAUGAACACUCCCUACUUUGAGUUUGUACCAAUGUCUAGCUUUUCCCGUUAAAGAGAACGGAAAGAGCUUCCAUUUGAGGGUCUCAUCGGACAUUCCUUCUAUGCGAAGGAGGUCACAGACUCGAUAAAACUCUCUUAGGUGUGUGUAUGGUUCCUCACCUUCUCCUGAGAAAGGUUGUUUUUGAACAAAUUCUAUGUAUUCGGGGUCUAUCUCAAAACUAGAUGCUAUGAUAGGCUUUGAAGAUUUUGGUGGUUCGAGAUGUGUGCCCGUAGGUCUAUGAAAUUCAUAGAUAGACAUGUUUGAAUUCAUGAUAGACCAGAGAUCAAGGAUUAGAUAAGAAGAAAGAUUAGCAGAGAUGAGGCAAAGGAUAAAAGGAUUUUUUUUAUUUUUUUUAGAAAAUGAUUAAGCUAGUUCGUAGUCAACUCAGCAACCGUUUCCCCGGCAACGGCGCCAAAAAUGCUUGUUGACACUUGCUAACACCACUUGAAUACUAGGUUGUCAUCCCCAGCAUGGCACUAGAGUGUACUAUGGUAUUUAUACGCACACAGAUAAUCCGCAAGCGCACGGAUACCGUUGAAGCUUUUACCCGGUUAAAGGUUUUAUCGUAUCCACAGGGAAAUGGGAGAACUAAUCUACGCUCUAACUUAACCAAGAUAAGUAAAUAGGUGUAAAUAGGAAAGAUGGUAGAAUUGAAUAAGAACAAUAUUAAAGGUAAGAUAACAGUGAGUGAUAAUAUGGGAAUAGAGAAUAGAGCAAUUCUAGUAUAUGGGCGAUGGUAGCAGAAUAGAGAGGAUAACUAUGGUUUCUCUACUUCAAAGGGUGUCUAUGUCUGGGACGAACCACGUGAUAAGAGUACACCACAAAGGAUGCUUAUCCUUAGGCCGAUAAACCCUACCCGUCCUGCUAACGAGAGGUGGACUACAGAGGACCAACGUAACUGUCACCUACGCGGCCUACCACACGAUCCAGCUAGACAGGGGAUAUCCACAAGUAAUCUAGAUCUAAGCACCUCGCUUACACCUAUACUACAACUCUCACCUAUAGCGUACUAUAGAUUAGAAUACUCAAAAGAGUUGUGAACCAGAACAUACAUAAUUAGUAAUUGCAUAAUGAAUUAGAAGUAGAUUACCAGAGUC
rnacentral:lncRNA from 1 species